UACGUAGGGGGCGAGCGUUGUCCGGAUUUAUUGGGCGUAAAGAGCUCGUAGGCGGCCCGGUAAGUCCGCUCUGAAAGUCCAGGGCUCAACCCUGGAAAGCGGGUGGAUACUGCCGGGCUAGAAUCCGGAAGAGGCGAGUGGAAUUCCUGGUGUAGCGGUGGAAUGCGCAGAUAUCAGGAGGAACACCAAUAGCGAAGGCAGCUCGCUGGGACGUUACUGACACUGAGGCGCGAAAGCGUGGGGAGCGAACAGG
rnacentral:rRNA from 1 species